ACAGUGUGUCAGAACAAACACGGUUGCUGCGCUAAAGGCCACCUCAGGACAUUUUUUCUUCAUUUUUGCAUUGGUUCUAAUAUCAUAUUCGACAUGGAUGGCUGCUUUGGACUCAUCUUCAUCUGCCGGCUGAAAGGGAAAAACAGUGGAAGGGCUUUUAAUGAGAUCAGCACAGAACGAUGACCCACCCGGAACUCCCCCUCCCUGCGCUAAUGAGGGACCAGACAAUCUACGACUCAUAGACCUCCUAUGAUGUCUGAAAUCUUUGUCCUCAAUUUCCCAUCACAUCCAUUGCAAUCUGUACCAGCACUAGGAGAGGGUGUGAUAACACACAGUGGUUGAGGACUGCAGGGCUGGCUGUGAGUGUGUGCGGGGUUGUGGCUCGGUUCGUAUGAAGUAAGGGCAAGCCCAAGACACCAGUGUGACAUUCCUUCAAAGGCCUCAUCAGAACAUCUCCCGACAAAGGAAAGUGUAGCUCAAGGCUCGAGGGGAUUAGCAGGGCCUGGGUCAUUAGGCCUCACCCAAAUAGCCCUGAGGAGAAGCUGCUGGAUCUAUCGCAUGAAACACAUACAACAUCCUCACAGCCGUAUGAAACCUUGGCAAAAUAUGGACUGCUGGCCACAUCUAGCACAUCCGCAUUCUCUAACCAGCUCAUCAGCUUUCAGUAAGUCAACUGUGGCGUAAAGCGAUUAAAAGCUUGUUGAAUCAUAUUGAUGACAACCAGUCACUGGUGGAGUACCAAUGAUCAAUAUUAAAAAACAUUGAUCAGUCGAGGAAAAGAAAUACAACACAGUAAUCAAUGUCCAUAGGUCACUGAGGUUGAAUGAAGACAGAUGGCUUGAAGCAGGAUUGUGACAGGCUGGAUUAAAACCUAUUUGGAUUCAUUAUCAUUUAAAUAUAAAUCUAUGAAAGUCCUGUAUAGAUUAAUCAUCACUUGAACAAAUCAGCAAAAUAACUUUUGCGGUGAGUUGUUUAUUCAUUUGCAAUUGAGCGAAUAAAACGUCCCAUGCCACGAGGUAAUUACUUUUUACAGGCUCUUAUUAAAGCAGUCUCCCAACUCCUAGCAAUAUGGACAAUUGUUUCUACAUCAUUAGUGAAAUUAACAUCAUGUUUAUAAAGCCAAUUGUGUAUUGAAUCAUUUCAAUACUAAGUCACUCACAUGAGGGAUGUGAUUGUUUGCAAUACAGACAGAUAAUAAGCUCUUAUCAGUGGAUAGGAAUAAAGUUUGAAGUAAAUUUUAUCACUAUGAAAUAGUAUAUUUGUCAAUCUAUGGAUGUAACAGAAUUAUAGAAAGGGUUAUUCUCAUACUAUGGGAUGAUAAACGUUUUUUUUUUACCCUUAAAAGGCCAUGAGGAUAAAUGUUUUUGUCAUUCAUGAAGCACAGCAAAAUGUGGGUAGUUGAGAAAAUGCAUUAGUCACAAAAGCACUGAAAGCUGUGCUACGCUUUGUAUACCAGAGUGACACGUUGACAUUUGAACAUAAUGGUGCCAAUAAUGCAUUCAUCUGUUCUCCAUUUAUGAAGCAGUAGUCAGAAGUGACAGCAGUGAUAAGAUAAUUCAGAAACUAUCACAGUACUUCUCCAUUCAUAGAGAACAUGUAUUUAUCACACUAUGAAUACCGGAUGUGGUAUUUCUCUGUGGAAGUUCAACAUCUUCAAAUAUUAGAUAUAAUAAGAAAUCUGUUUCUCAAUGAUGUAUCUAAUGACACAUUUUCACAUCCCUUGUGUUAAUUUUCAUGCCAAUCCUUAAAAUACAUUUCUGAGUUGUUGUUGUAUUUUUUUGUCAUGGUUUAAAAAUGAUGCUGGAAUACCACAGAUCUUUUCAUCAGAUUUCCAAUUCUCCACCACGGCUAUAACACUCUUUUCCUCUUUACAGUCACUGAUAAAUCAUUUACACUGUGUAUGGAUGUACAAGCUUUUAGGGCGUUGCAGCUUCUGAGCCACAAUGCCCAAGAGCGAAGGAAGGAGUGGGUGAAGCUCUGUUUGUGGGAAGGGUGGGGGGGCGCGGCAUUUUACAAAAGAGCAGGCAAGCGAGGCGAAAAUGUAGCUCUCACCAAAGGUCACUCCAACCCAAAGGGUCUCUUGUGAUAUUUUCAUUACUGAGGUGAGAACGCCCACUUGGCUUCGCUCAUGUUACUGUGUAUGUGCACCAUCUACCAGUGGUAUGAUUAUGAACAGAAAUGUAUUUUGGAAUGAGGAGAGAUCUGUUACGCAGAGAGAGAGUAAGAUAUUAGCACAAAAUAUUGAUAUAAUUUGAGGAAGAACAAGAGUGGAAGACAAAGUGAAGACAAAAUAUCAGAAAGAAAGGGAGAAAAGCAGAUUAUAAGUGAUGAAAAGAUAGAGAUUGAAACAAAGAAGAGGAACGGAGAAAGUAGUGACUUCAUUACAUGGAUGUGUCCUAGUAAAGCAGGGGAAUCAGAUAGGCUCUGAUUGUUUUUUCUUAGAUACACUUAUCUCACCCAUCUCCAAACAGUGCUGUAAUUGGAUUCCCCUGGGAAGAUCAGAAAAAAGUUCGAUUAACUGUUGUCCUUUUGUCCCCAAACAUCAGGGGUAGUAGUAGGACGAUCCUAUUAUUAUUAUUAUUAUUGUAAACAACCAUAUUCCAAAACAUCUUUUAUGGUUAUCGCUUACAAUGUCAAUAAAAUUAGAUACUUUUAUUCUGUUUAAGUAAUGGCUACUUUGCAGAAUAUUAAAUGCUUAAAAUACUGAAAUGUUGUUUCACGUGAAUAUUUAUUUUUGUAUUAACGCUUUUUGGAAUUUCUUAAAGCAAAUUUUGCAAAAAUGGAAUCUGAGGUUGUUUUUCCACUCUUCGGCAAUUUAAUACAACAGGAAGCACAAGUGCCAAAAAACAUUGCUGCAUGCUUGAAUACCAACGAGGAGGAUUUCUCAUAACUCUGAAGCAAUUAGUGUCAUAGGAGGUGUGUGAAAUUGUAAAAAAUUAAAAAUACCAAAGCUGACUGCAAAUGAAUUCUUCCUUUGAAAUUCCAUAGAAAAUCCCCUGAAAAUAGGAAUCCUUAAUUGCAAGCGUAAACUCUUUACACGGGUGGUGAGGAAAAUAUAAACCAGGCCGAGCAAAACAAUUUUGCUGGAAUAAUUUCAUUUAGAAAUCUUUCAUCUGUUCUUUUCCCCAUCCUCCGCUUUGGGGCAGAGAGGCAAAUAAGUGAAGAGGAUGCAUGACAUUUUUUCUUAAGAAUCCUUGAUGUUUUUUUCCCCCCAAAAAAGCAACAUUAUGAGGAUUUUUUUUUCCAUGGUAUUGAUCUCCUGAGCUAGGAGCCUCACUCUCUUUCUUUUCUUCUCUCUCUAUGCCUCCGUAUCUCAACAAAUUGGACCACAACCAUGAUUUCUUUCUAUGGUCUGCUCACAUCUCUGCUUCUGUUAACAUCACGGUUCAUUGCUUGUCCACCAAGGUUUUGUAGUAUGCAUUGCAUGUUAAUCCUAUGUCGCCUUAGAAUAGAUAGAUAGAUAGAUAGAUAGAUAGAUAGAUAGAUAGAUAGAUAGAUAGAUAGAUAGAUAGAUAGAUAGAUAGAUAGAUAGAUAGAUAGAUAGAUAGAUAGAUAGAUAGAUAGAUAGAUAGAUAGAUAGAUAGAUAGAUAGAUAGAUAGAUAGAUAGAUAGAUAGAUAGAUAGAUUGAUAGAUUGAUAGAUUGAUAGAUAGAUAGAUAGAUAGAUAGAUAGAUAGAUAGAUAGAUAGAUAGAUAGAUAGGUAGGUAGGUAGGUAGGUAGGUAGGUAGGUAGGUAGGUAGGUAGGUAGGUAGGUAGGUAGGUAGGUAGGUAGGUAGGUAGGUAGGUAGGUAGGUAGGUAGGUAGGUAGGUAGGUAGGUAGGUAGGUAGGUAGGUAGGUAGGUAGAUAGAUAGAUAGAUAGAUAGAUAGAUAGAUAGAUAGAUAGAUAGAUAGAUAGAUAGAUAGAUAGAUAGAUAGAUAGAUAGAUAGAUAGAUAGAUAGAUAGAUAGAUAGAUAGAUAGAUAGA